ensembl:snRNA U6 U6 spliceosomal RNA
GUGUUCUCUUAGCACAUAUACUAAAAUUGGAAUGAUAAGGUCAGCAGUGGCCACUGUACAAGGAUAACACACAAAUUCGUGAAGCAUUCCAUAUUUAG